AGAACGAACGCUGGCGGCAGGCUUAACACAUGCAAGUCGAACGCCCCGCAAGGGGAGUGGCAGACGGGUGAGUAACGCGUGGGAAUCUACCCAAUACUACGGAAUAGCUCCGGGAAACUGGAAUUAAUACCGUAUGUGCCCUACGGGGGGAAAGAUUUAUCGGUAUUGGAUGAGCCCGCGUUGGAUUAGCUAGUUGGUGGGGUAAAAGCCUACCAAGGCGACGAUCCAUAGCUGGUCUGAGAGGAUGAUCAGCCACACUGGGACUGAGACACGGCCCAGACUCCUACGGGAGGCAGCAGCGGGGAAUAUUGGACAAUGGGCGAAAGCCUGAUCCAGCCAUGCCGCGUGAGUGAUGAAGGCCUUAGGGUUGUAAAGCUCUUUUAGUGGGACGAUAAUGACGUACCAACAGAAAAGCCCGCUAACUCGUGCCAGCAGCCGC
rnacentral:rRNA from 1 species